rnacentral:rRNA from 1 species
GACGACGCUGGCGGCGUGGAUUAGGCAUGCAAGUCGAACGGUAUCAUCCUUUCGGGGAUGAGAGAGUGGCGAACGGGUGAGUAACACGUAGGUGAUCUACCCUCAAGACGGGGACAACCCAGGGAAACUUGGGCUAAUACCGGAUGUGAGCUAUCGCGAGAUAGUUUGAAAGGUGGCUUCGGCUGCCGCUUGGGGAUGAGCCUGCGUCCUAUUAGCUAGUUGGUGAGGUAACGGCCCACCAAGGCGAUGAUAGAUAGGCGGCCUUAACGGGUGGUCGCCCACACUGGGAUUGAGAUACGGCCCAGACUCCUACGGGAGGCAGCAGUCGAGAAUAGUCUACAAUGGCCGAAAGGCUGAUAGUGCGACGCCGCGUGAACGAAGAAGCCCUUCGGGGUGUAAAGUUCUUUUAUAUGUGAGCAGUGCUUUCUAUGUGAACAGCAUGGGGAGAGAGAUAUUAGCAUAUGAAUAAGCAACGGCUAACUCCGUG